rnacentral:sRNA from 2 species
GCAGCUGGCGAGGAGCUCUGAGGAGAGAAGACUCGGAAAAAGAAAACAGGCUCAAAAAUAGAGUUUGCAUGAAGGGUUUUGUUUGUCAUAACUACUCCUUCUUGGCUUAUGGCUCUGCAACAUUGUUUCAGCACGGUGACGGGCCUGGUCGUCGGCAUCCAAAUACCCUUUGAAGCUACGUACCUAUCUCCAUGAAGAUAGACCCAAACCAGGAGAUGGAUGACGCUCCGCUUCGAACCGCAAUGGCGAUAGUCUGUGUACCCUCCAGUGAACGUCAUACGAGCAGAGCGGGCAAUCAACCGAGCAAUAGCGGUUACCAACAAACACCUUCCCCUUCCCUUCCCUUCUAACUAACAAGGCAACGGGCAGAUAGACAAGUCGAUCUCAUCUGGCAUGUAAAAGAAGAUGAUGAAAGCUUGUCGCCAUUCAUUCAUUCGUUUCGCCGGGUCCCUCUAACUAUUGAUCACCUACUUGACAUAACAUCAACUCAAUCUAGAUAACUUACAUCCUGUAUUACUAUUUUCUUCCUGCGCUUUCCUCUAUUUUUUGAGACGCCGAGUCGUCUUCGCUUGACGGCCAGGCGCGUCGGAGCGCAUAUCUUCCAUCCAUCCAUCCAAAUGCGCAUUGUAACCUAAAUCUCACUCAGACGCCUCAGCGGAGAUUCUCGCGGCGGGGGGAUGCUCCGAAACGGUAGCAUCCAGAUCACUCGAUCCAUUUACCUCAUGCACAAAACAACAACUCUUCUUAAUUGGAGCCCAUGGGUUUUCUUAACACAAUUUAACGCUAGAUGUAUAUUUCGGGAAACCCACGCUGUUGACGAAAAAUUCUCCGCAGGCGUCCCUCUCCCUUGUUUGCAAAUCCGUCACUUUGCAAGAAUUCACUCUCCUCGCUUGGUUGCUCAACUGCCCAACUGGCUUAAUUGCUCAACGCUCCAUCUACAUACAUAUACUACUUCAUACUUUUUCUUUGAUUUAUCAACGG